CAGUAGCCGCGGUAAUACGGAGGGGGCUAGCGUUGUUCGGAAUUACUGGGCGUAAAGCGCACGUAGGCGGCUUGGUAAGUUAGAGGUGAAAGCCCGGAGCUCAACUCCGGAAUUGCCUUUAAGACUGCCGAGCUAGCAGGUGAGAGAGGUAAGUGGAAUUCCGAGUGUAGAGGUGAAAUUCGUAGAUAUUCGGAAGAACACCAGUGGCGAAGGCGGCUUACUGGCUCAUACUGGACGCUGAGGUGCGAAAGCGUGGAGAGCAAACAGGAUUAGAUACCCCCGUAGUCCCUGUCUCUUAUAC
rnacentral:rRNA from 1 species